AACUGAAAAAGUAAUCACUUUAGGCGGUGGAUCACUUGGCUCGUGCGUCGAUGAAGAACGCAG
rnacentral:rRNA from 1 species